rnacentral:lncRNA from 1 species
CCUCAGACUUGCUCCAAAUAAACUCUGUACUUAUAUUAAUAUUGUAUCUGUUUUUUUUUUUCCUGUAGGUCCACACCCAGAAAGCCAAAUAGAUGAGAGUGAAACCAUCCUUAUAAACCUUAUAAAAUUAGCCAGGGAAGAAGGAAGAGGGAGAAAGGAAAAUAAGUCAAGCUUGCAGCACACUCAGCAUUAAUCAUUAGGUAACAACUUGAACACUAUGAAACAUUAAGUUUUACCUUUGAGACAUUCCUUAAGAUCCUGCUUACUGAUGAAACUACUGGCUCAGCUGGUCUGAAAGAUCCUACCGACUCAAGCUGAUCUGAAGGACUCCAUGGAUGCCAGCUGGUCUGAAGGACCCCACAAGGAGCUAACUCAUGAAAGAAUGCAGUUUCCACAUCCUGGUCCUGCAUACUGAUGAAACUACUGACUCACCUGGUCUGAAGGACCUCACUAAUGCCAGCACAUCUGAAGGACCCUAUGAGGAGCUGACUCACCAAAGAAUUCAGUUUCCACGUCCUCAUGAUUUCAUCCUUCUUGUUCUGACCAAUCAAUGACCCCAAUUUUCUGGCCCCCUCAUCCUCCACAAUCCCCUUAAACAUUUCAGCCCAGAACACCUUGGGGAGAUGGAUUUGAGGGUUUCUUUCUAUCUCCUUGUUCAACGCCCUGUGAUUAUUAAACUCUUUCUCUGCU